GUUUUCUGCGUCUUUGCACGCCAGAAACGUGUCUGAGCGGCGCUGCAGCAGCUAGCCUUGUAGCUAGCCUUGUAGCUAGCCUUACACAUGUGUGUUUCCCAUUGAUAAAAUGACAUUAUACUUCAUGUUAAAUAUAAAUAUGUAUUGAUCUGGUUACAGCAAAGACAACGUCGGCAGGAUUGACGGCAAAAGAGGCGACAGAAUAUUUCCUUCUGUAUUGACAGGUGCAAUAUUUGAUCAAUCGAUGAUUUUUU